rnacentral:rRNA from 1 species
GCGUGUCGGGGCACUCUGAUGGUGCACGCCGCGUGAGGGAUGAAGGCCUUCGGGUCGUAAACCUCUGUCACCAGGGAGCAACAAACAGGUUAGUAGCCUGUCCUGAGUUAACCUGGAGAGGAAGCAGUGGCUAACUCCGUGCCAGCAGCCGCGGUAAUACGGAGACUGCGAGCGUUACUCGGAUUCACUGGGCGUAAAGGGUGCGCAGGCGGAUAGAUGUGUCAGGUGUGAAAUCUCGGGGCUCAACCUCGAAACUGCGCCUGAAACUGUCUAUCUAGAGUAUUGGAGAGGUAAGCGGAAUUUCCGGUGUAGCGGUGAAAUGCGUAGAUAUCGGAAGGAACACCAAUGGCGAAGGCAGCUUACUGGACAACUACUGACGCUCAGGCACGAAAGCAUGGGUAGCGAAAGGGAUUAGAUACCCCCUGUAGUCAA